rnacentral:rRNA from 1 species
UACGGAAGGCAGCAGUGGGGAAUAUUGCACAAUGGGCGCAAGCCUGAUGCAGCCAUGCCGCGUGUAUGAAGAAGGCUUUCGGGUUGUAAAGUACUUUCAGUCGUGAGGAAGGUGUUAAGGUUAAUAACCUUAGCAAUUGACGUUAGCGACAGAAGAAGCACCGGCUAACUCCGUGCCAGCAGCCGCGGUAAUACGGAGGGUGCGAGCGUUAAUCGGAAUUACUGGGCGUAAAGGGCACGCAGGCGGUUAAUUAAGUUGGAUGUGAAAUCCCCGGGCUUAACCUGGGAAUGGCAUUCAAGACUGGUUAGCUAGAGUCUUGUAGAGGGGGUAGAAUUCCAUGUGUAGCGGUGAAAUGCGUAGAGAUGUGGAGGAAUACCGGUGGCGAAGGCGGCCCCUGGACAAAGACUGACGCUCAUGUGCGAAAGCGUGGGGAGCAAAC